UCGCUUGGGACGGGUCCUUAAUCGAGAUCUUUCCUUCGGAACAGGAGAGACAGGUGGUGCAUGGUUGUCGUCAGCUCGUGUCGUGAGAUGUUGGGUUAAGUCCCGCAACGAGCGCAACCCUUAUCCUUAGUAGCCAGCGGUUCGGCCGGGGACUCUGGGGAGACUGCCAGGGAUAACCUGGAGGAAGGGGGGGAUGACGUCAAAUCAUCAUGGCCCUUAUGACUUGGGCUACACACGUGCUACAAUGGCGUAAACAAAGGGAAGCGAACCCGCGAAGGGGAGCAAAUCCCAAAAAUAACGUCCCAGUUCGGAAUGGAGUCUGCAACCCCACUACACGAAGCUGGAAUCCCUAGUAAUCCCGGAUCAAAAUGGCGCGGUGAAUACGUUCCCGGGUCUUGGACACACCGAA
rnacentral:rRNA from 1 species